GGGAAGUCAUACAUGGCAGUCGAACGAAGUUACUUGCUUAGAUCUCUUCGGAGUGACGAGCUUUUAACUUAGUGGCGGACGGGUGAGUAACGCGUGGGUAACCUGCCUUAUACAGGGGGAUAACACUUAGAAAUAGGUGCUAAUACCGCAUAAGCGCACGGGGCUGCAUGGCCCAGUGUGAAAAACUCCGGUGGUAUAAGAUGGACCCGCGUCUGAUUAGCUUGUUGGCGGGGUAACGGCCCACCAAGGCGACGAUCAGUAGCCGGCCUGAGAGGGUGGACGGCCACAUUGGGACUGAGACACGGCCCAAACUCCUACGGGAGGCAGCAGUGGGGAAUAUUGGACAAUGGGGGGAACCCUGAUCCAGCGACGCCGCGUGAGUGAAGAAGUAUUUCGGUAUGUAAAGCUCUAUCAGCAGGGAAGAAAGAAAUGACGGUACCUGACUAAGAAGCCCCGGCUAACUACGUGCCAGCAGCCGCGGUAAUACGUAGGGGGCAAGCGUUAUCCGGAUUUACUGGGUGUAAAGGGAGCGUAGACGGUUGUGCAAGUCUGAAGUGAAAGGCGGGGGCCCAACCCCCGGACUGCUUUGGAAACUGUAUAACUGGAGUGCAGGAGAGGUAAGUGGAAUUCCUAGUGUAGCGGUGAAAUGCGUAGAUAUUAGGAGGAACACCAGUGGCGAAGGCGGCUUACUGGACUGUAACUGACGUUGAGGCUCGAAAGCGUGGGGAGCAAACAGGAUUAGAUACCCUGGUAGUCCACGCCGUAAACGAUGAUCGCUAGGUGUCGGUGGGUAUGGGCCC
rnacentral:rRNA from 1 species